UAUGGCAUGAGGAGUCACUGCCUGCAGAUGACAGGGCACACAGAAGCAAGUCUCAAGCAGCUUUGUGCUGUUUCACAUCCCAGAGCAUUACAAGCAAGUUUACUUGCUGGCUAAUGACCCUUUUCCUUCAGUGAGACUCUUCCUUCUUGCAGGAAUUUCACGUCAUGAAACCCAGUGCUAAGAAAAUAGAUGGAGACUUCUGUUUUAAACAGAAAUCGAUGUCAGUCACUCCCACUCUCGCUUCCAAGGUAUCUUCUGUUGGCAUAACAGGCAGAGAAAUGGCACGUGUGAUGUGCCGUGCCUUACUGCCAUCCUCCCGUUAUCAUCCUUGACAGCCUUCGCCUGGUGACUCAGCAGUGCUGUGGUACUUAUGCAAAUGGCACAUUCCUGGGUGUUUACCAGUUUGUUUGCAUUGCUCAUGCCCUUAUUUAUCAAUAAAUGCCAUUCUUCUAA